rnacentral:lncRNA from 1 species
GAACGUUGGACUGAAGAUUCUCUUUAGCAAAUGCAAAGACUUGGUUCCACUCCGGAUCCGAGUUCUUGUCCAAAUGUCUUGUAACUCCUUUGAAGUUUCCUAUUUUUACUUCCACGUAAGGGUCUAGGCUUCCCGUUAGGUCUCUGUCGGGGAGAUCACGCGCCUUCACGACUCUCACGAAGAGAAACCUCAUCUCUUCGACGAGAUCGUAUGUGCCUACGGGCCUCUGCGUACCACGAACUAUUCGUCCUCCAAUGAUCCGUCCACCUCCGAGGAAAGGGCUCGUCUCUUUCACAGUGAAAUCUGAUGAUGGGCCUGGGCCGUUGUGAAGAAGAUGAAAGAGUUCUAUAUAGAGACAUAUAUAUGUUUGUUUGAAUCCUCACGAAACACGAUUCAGAGCAUAGAGUCUGUCAUGGCCGGAAGUCGCCGGAAAAAGUUGAGCGGAGCCGAUGGAAUGCGGUGUCGGAGCUUAGGGUGCCUCAUGAAGUAGUAACCGGAGAGGAGAGCAAAGAGCUUAAAAGGUGUUAUGUAGAGAACCAUUGCAACGAUGAAACAGAACGUCACAAAUAUUGCGGUAGCGCGUGGAUCACGCCAGCUCAGCAGAGCCUGCACGCGCUCUCCCUGUGCCGCUAUGUCUCCAACCACCGUCUGUAUCUUCCCCGCCACAAUUCUCAGCCGAUCAUACCUGUUAAACAACCGUGUUAGAGGUUCCAGGUUCGAGAGACCAUAGGGACGAAACUAAUAUUACAUUUAUUGUUUCGGGUCGGGAGGAUUACUAGCUUCGGUCCCGAACCUCAUAGUAUUCAAAAAAAUAAAUUAAGUAAAUAACUUGAUGAGUUACCUCAUUUUGACAAUGUCUGGAGCCUUCAUGGUCGGGAAGAUAUCAAACUCUUCGUCGAGCUCAUCAGCAUUCACACUCUCCGCGUAAGACAGUUUGGUAUCCAUAUGAGGAGGAAACCUCGGCCUAAUCCUGUAGUUCCACAACCCAAUCACAGCCAUAUACAGAAACACAGUCGGCAAAAUCAUCUCCGGGAACAUCACAAGCAUCGUGUACAACACAUGCACAAGCCCCGUCGUCACCGGCGUCCUCCAGCUGCAAACUUCUCCCAUCCAUUUCCACACCGACAUCACUCCCGAGAACACCGCGGUGAACCUAAAGAAGUUAGCCUUGCUUCUCCUCAUGCUGAAGAGAUGAGUCUUGGCAUCCGUCAUGUACUCGACAACUUCGCGUCUAAGCGGCGGCUCCGACCGUCCUAAGCGAGCCACGAUUAUGUUGAGAGCCUGGACUCUAAGAAUUUCUUGUAGGUUUACGGAUAAAGGCUGCGUGUAAUGCAUUUUAGGCAAGAGAGGUUUGGUGUAUUUCAUCAGCGUGUUGGAGACGGAUGUGCAGGUGAACCUCACUGCUAAGUGAAGCUCGCCUCUUUUCUUGAGACCAGAUGGGGUUAGAACUAGUAAAGGGUACGCGUUCGUGUAUACGCGGCCCGUCUGAAGAGUAGAGAGUCUGAUACGGACUUUCCCAAUGGUCUGAUCUCUGCCAUUUCCAGAUGAAAAGUGACCGUUGUCGAAUACGCAGAUGGUUAAGACCGUCGCGGGGUCUAAAACCUCCCAUGUGUACUGCUCAUUGUACUUUGGAUUCAAGCUGUUGAUCACAGUUCUCGACCGAACCCACUUGUGACCGUACUUGGCAACAACGUACGUGUCCGAAGUACCUUUCCCGUCUCGGUUUUUAACCGGGUGGAGCCCGUUUGCGUUGAGUAUCCCAAGCUCCAAGACACCGAUCGCUUGUUUCCAGAGCUGUCUCGCCGUUGGCCUUAGAUCGCUGCUGUAGUAAGUAGACUCGUCAAAGACAUGGUAGCCUCCUUCAAGAACCGCAGCCACGUGGAGCCUAGUAGCGAACUUUACUCUCUUGGCUUUGUCCUCAUCCAUAGCGUCUGAGAUCGAGUCUUCGAGAUGAAACCAACGGCUACGGAACGCUCUAUCAUCAUUACGUCUCUCGAUAGCGGAGAGAGGGAUCACAGCUUUGCCUACAGGCUCGUCUCUGUUGGCUGCGGAGUGGUCUUCCACCGAGAGGACCAGGUGUUCCUCAAACGGCUCCGCGACUACGAACAUGAACUCAUUGUCCCAUCUCGGAUGAAAGCUUCUUUGAGCCACUUUAGUCUUUAACAUCUGGUUACCGACCUGGAUUCUCACAAAGGCUUCAGGGAGACGUGACUUGUCGGAGACUAUGAUCACGUCUUGAGCCUCUAUUAUCUUCACCCUUAGGUACCAUAGCCGAGGGGAAUGGUAGACCUUGGACCGGAGGUUAGCGGAGAUAAUGUCGGAGCUGUCUGAAGAUGUUAACGAGUCUGAGAAGACAGCAUCACCGAAGGCUUCAUCAGCUUGAGUACCUUCCCAAACAGCAAGCAUGAUCUCAGCUCUCUUCUUCUCACCUCUCUUGUUCUCAAGUCUAUACCACUCUGGAGCUAAAGGACUAUCCGGAGGGACACGAGAUUGAACCUCAUUGAGAUCAAACCGGACAGUGCCAACGUAAUCAUCUAGGACAAGGUCUUUAUCCUUGACGACUAUUUCGAGAACGUUGGACUGAAGAUUCUCUUUAGCAAAUGCAAAGACUUGGUUCCACUCCGGAUCCGAGUUCUUGUCCAAAUGUCUUGUAACUCCUUUGAAGUUUCCUAUUUUUACUUCCACGUAAGGGUCUAGGCUUCCCGUUAGGUCUCUGUCGGGGAGAUCACGCGCCUUCACGACUCUCACGAAGAGAAACCUCAUCUCUUCGACGAGAUCGUAUGUGCCUACGGGCCUCUGCGUACCACGAACUAUUCGUCCUCCAAUGAUCCGUCCACCUCCGAGGAAAGGGC